UAAGGAAGCCUUCGCCUUUUAUGUUCCUCUAAUUUUACUCCAUGAUCUCACAGGGAAAUGAGUGGAGCAAGUGGCUCAUCAGCCACCUUGGCCUCUGAAAAGAAUUGUCCCAGAAGCCAUCUCUCUAUCAAACCUGGCUAAUUUCUUCUCUCCUCCUUCAGCUCUGGCCUCUUCCUGCUCACCUCUGCCAAUCUCCUUUCCUUCCACUCAAAGUCUGGCCACAACAAAAAAGAAAGCAGGUUUGGAGAGAGGCCUUCUUGAUUUGGACCCACCAUUCCAGUCCCUCAAGAUCUCUCUAAAUCCACACUCUGUAGUGGAGCAUUUUGGCUCUCCUUCCCAGCUUUGUGGCCCUUGAACAUUUGGUAAGCAUGUCAUCCAUAUCUUCAUGGUGUCCCUUACAACAUCCACAGAGAGGACUGAGGCAGAGAGCCAGAGGGCUUUGGCAGAUCAACCCUCUCUAGUCUGCUGCUAAUCCACAAAAACAUCUCAUGCAUAUGGUUGUUCAACUUGUGAAAUUUCCUAAAUACUAUCAGCCUGCAUAUCUCCAUUUUAUCCAAGAUUACACCACGGAAGACUUACUUUGUUCUAAAAAUAAAAGCCAGAAACAAUCCUUAUGAGUAGGGAAGCUAUGGAUAUUCUUCUGAGGCUUCCCUUUGUUCCUCCCUUUGCCUACUCUUUCCUGUCCCCACAACCAGAAGAAUAUGGCCUGGAAGCCAGGCAGACCCUCAAAACCUUCAGACCAAAGGCAUACCUCUGCUAAGAAGAGUUUCUUUUCUCUUUCAGGUAUUUUUAGUCUUCAUAGUCCUACAGAGUAGGACAUUUUCCUUAAAAACAUUUUUACAGAAUUAGAAAUUGAAUCUCAGAAAAAUUAAGCAAUUUUUUCUCAGAUCUUAUCACCUAGCUAGUAGGGACACCCAUAUUUAUAGUCCAGUCUGUCCACCAAGGUUCAUACUUUGCCUGCUAUGUUAUAUCAAUACUACUGUGUCUAUACAUGCCAGGACAAAUAAAAAUGUUGAGGAUCUUUGAGACCCUCUUAAUCUACUCUUCAUUCCAGAGAGUACUAAACUCAAUUACUGAUGGACAAAACAACACAUAUCCCAGCUACCUGAAUGGCAACAUCUUGAAACAUCUAUAGGAAUCCAGCCCUCAGUAACUUCUGCAAGAAUCCCCUAAGGCGUGAAGACUCAUCUGGCCACAAUUCCUUUUGUCCUGGAGACUACUGACCCCUAAAAAGGAAUGUCAACUGUGCAAGGGGCUUUUACACAAAGCCAAUUAUCUCCUCCUACUCUCUCUGCCAAUCUUGGAAAAGUCAAGUCCUGGACUUGUUAAAGAAGGUGAUUCAUCUCUGUGUGGAAAGAAUGCCAACAGCAACUGUAUAAAAGGUUUCUUUCUUCACAUCCCUAAUUCCUGAGGACCUGAUAGUCACUUACUGUAAGGAGACUCAAGAUGAGCUUAUCUGUGACUCACCAUCUGUCCUAUGCUCUUAUAUACAAUCUACUUCCUUCCCGUUCUUCAUGUAAAUGGACUGGCCAAAGCUUUCUGAGAGGAUGAGUAUUAUAAUUAAGAAACAGAGUAGACAAUAAGGCAAAUGAUAAAUUUCACAAAUAAACAUGUAAUAGAAACUUCAGCAUUUUAACAUGUAAUAGAAAAUAUUGUUUAUAAUUUUAUUCUGAGAACCUAGCAUGUUCUUCUAAAAGUUUCAACCAUUUUGGCAUAUCAAUUUUUAAAAUACGAUUAGUGAUGCAUUUAUUCGUAGUCUCAGGACUCAGAAAACCAAAAGAGACAAUUAAAAAGUUCAUUGUAUUUCUCUAAUGACCAGUGAUGAUGAGCUUUUUUUCAUAUGCUUGUUGGCCAC
rnacentral:lncRNA from 1 species